rnacentral:rRNA from 1 species
CCAGACUCCUACGGGAGGCAGCAGUGAGGAAUAUUGGUCAAUGGGCGGGAGCCUGAACCAGCCAAGUCGCGUGAGGGACGACGGUCCUAUGGAUUGUAAACCUCUUUUGUCGGGGAACAAAGGCGCCCACGGGUGGGCGGAUGAGUGUACCCGAAGAAAAAGCAUCGGCUAACUCCGUGCCAGCAGCCGCGGUAAUACGGAGGAUGCGAGCGUUAUCCGGAUUUAUUGGGUUUAAAGGGUGCGUAGGCGGACAGUCAAGUCAGCGGUAAAAAUGCGGUGCUCAACGCCGUACAGCCGUUGAAACUGGCAGUCUUGAGUGGGCGAGAAGUAUGCGGAAUGCGUGGUGUAGCGGUGAAAUGCAUAGAUAUCACGCAGAACUCCGAUUGCGAAGGCAGCUUACUAAACUAUAACUGACACUGAAGCACGAAAGCGUGGGGAUCAAACAGGAUUAGAUACCCCAGUAAG